rnacentral:misc_RNA from 1 species
GUUUGAUCCAGAAGUCAAAACGCAAUCUCAGGUGAUAUACUUAGUAUCUGGCACGUUCAUGCAUUUUCUAAGCUAUUAGCUAAUCAAAUUAUUUUCUAACAAAACAAUUUUUGGCACGCCUAGUGGGAUUUAUUCUCACACAAUAUUAAAACAACAAUCAAUACCACCGAUCUUUGCCAAAAAUUGACAAAUAAUUUUUAGCAUACCCAAUGGGACACAUAUCCUACAG